rnacentral:lncRNA from 1 species
UCUUCCUCUCCUUUAAAUAUCGACACCUCCAGUUUUCGUAGCCUCAUGUCAAAAAGGGGUAUCUCACGGAUAUUUGGUGCACAUGGUACUCCAACUCCCUCAUCCACCACCGGGUUAGUUUUUUGUUCACUUUUUUCUUCUUGAACUUGUUCCUCAUUCAUUAUUCCCUUUCCCUUGUCCGUAAUCAUUCUUUCACUAGACGUGGAUCCUUUUGAAGCACUUCCCAUCACUCCCAUCCUGUGUAUUAACAAUUUCAUAUCCUCACUCAAUUUUUACAGAUUGUGUGGAAUAAAUUAAUUAAAGUUGUUUCUACCAAAGAAAACAAAAAUAAUAAAUAAAAUUAUAUGUUUUUCAGAUUUUAUUUUAUGUUUCUAAAAGUUGGAUGUAUUCUGAUCAUAACCUUUUUGACAUAUUGUAAAAGGCAUUGAUAAAUUAAAUUAAAA